AACAUACUAGGCGAUGGGGUUCGCCAUAACCACCGGCUUCCUGCUGAUGACUCCUGCUGCGUU
rnacentral:ncRNA from 23 species